ACGGGUGAGUAACGCGUGGUCAACCUACCGUUGAGUGGGGGAUAACUAGCCGAAAGGUUAGCUAAUACCGCAUACGUCUCCGAGGGGCAUCCCUUGGCGAUAAAAGGAGCAAUCCGCUCGAUGACGGGACCGCGUCCCAUUAGCUAGAUGGUGGGGUAAUGGCCUACCAUGGCACCGAUGGGUAGCUGGUUUGAGAGAGCGACCAGCCACACUGGGACUGAGAAACGGCCCAG
rnacentral:rRNA from 1 species